UCGGAGGUCGUCUAAUGGUAGGACAGCUGGUUCUGGUCCAGCCAAUUGGGGUUCGAGUCCCUGCCUCCGAACCA
rnacentral:tRNA from 2 species